GACGAACCGUGCGAACGUUGUUCGGAAUCACUGGGCUUAAAGGGCGCGUAGGCGGAGUGGUAAGUCUGCGGUGAAAUCCGUCGGCUCAACCGGCGAACGGCCGUGGAUACUGCCAUUCUCGAGGGGUGUAGGGGCAUGCGGAACUUCCGGUGGAGCGGUGAAAUGCGUAGAUAUCGGAAGGAACGCCGGUGGCGAAAGCGGCGUGCUGGACACCUACUGACGCUGAGGCGCGAAAGCCAGGGGAGCGAACGGG
rnacentral:rRNA from 1 species